AGAGUUUGAUCCUGGCUCAGCGCGUAAGUUGGCGGCGUGGAUUAGGCAUGCAAGUCGAGCGAGAAGCUCUCCUUCGGGGGAGUGGACAGCGGCGAAAGGGUGAGUAAUGCGUAAUCAACCUGCCCCCGAGACUGGAAUAGCUUUCGGAAACGGAAGGUAAUGCCGGAUAGUCCGCCCGCGUGGCAUCACGCGGGUUGUAAACGGUGGGGAUCCUUCGGGACCUUCUGCUCGGGGAGGGGAUUACGUCCUAUUAGCUUGUUGGUGGGGUAACGGCCCACCAAGGCUGUGAUGGGUAGCUGGUCUGAGAGGAUGAUCAGCCACACUGGGACUGAGACACUGCCCAGGCUCCUACGGGAGGCUGCAGUCGAGAAUCUUCCGCAAUGGGCGCAAGCCUGACGGAGCGACGCCGCGUGGAGGAUCGAAGGCCUUCGGGUUGUAAACUCCUUUCAAGCAGUGAGGAAUAGCUGUGCGAGAAUAUCGUGCAGUGUGACUUUAGCUGCAGAAGAAGCUCCGGCUAACCCUGUGCCAGCAGCCGCGGUAAUACAGGGGGAGCGAACGUUGCUCGGAAUUACUGGGCAUAAAGGGCACGUAGGCGGUCUUGUAAGUUGGAUGUGAAAGACCCUGGCUCAACCAGGGAACGGCAUCCAAAACUGCAGGGCUAGAGGCCGAGAGGGGUGAGCGGAACUCCAGGUGGAGCGGUGAAAUGCGUAGAUAUCUGGAGGAACACCGGUGGCGAAAGCGGCUCACUGGCUCGGUUCUGACGCUGAGGUGCGAAAGCCAGGGGAGCGAACGGGAUUAGAUACCCCGGUAGUCCUGGCCCGUAAACGAUGGGCACUAGGUAGGGGGGGUUUCUAUGGCCUUUCUCUGCCGAAGCUAAUGUGUUAAGUGCCCCGCCUGGGGAGUAUGCUCGCAAGGGUAAAACUCAAAGGAAUUGACGGGGGCUCACACAAGCGGUGGAGCAUGUGGUUUAAUUCGAUGCAACGCGAAGAACCUUACCUGGGUUUGAACCGCCGAGGAUCGGUGCAGAGAUGUACCUUUCUUUCGAGACUUCGGUAGAGGUGCUGCAUGGCUGUCGUCAGCUCGUGUCGUGAGAUGUUGGGUUAAGUCCCGCAACGAGCGCAACCCUUGCCCUCUGUUGCCACCAGGUAAUGCUGAGCACUCUGAGGGGACUGCCGGUGAUAAACCGGAGGAAGGUGGGGAUGACGUCAAGUCCUCAUGGCCUUUAUGUCCAGGGCUACACACGUGCUACAAUGACGGGUACAAAGGGUCGCAAAACCGUGAGGUUGAGCUAAUCCCAGAAAACCCGCCCCAGUUCGGAUUGGAGUCUGCAACUCGACUUCAUGAAGGUGGAAUCGCUAGUAAUCGCGGAUCAGCAGGCCGCGGUGAAUACGUUCCCGGGCCUUGUACACACCGCCCGUCACAUCACGAAAGUUGACUGUACUAGAAGUCGCUGGGCCAACCCGCAAGGGGGGCAAGUGCCGACGGUAUGGUUGAUGAUUGGGGUGAAGUCGUAACAAGGUAGCUGUAGGAGAACCUGUGGCUUUUCGCCUCCUUA
rnacentral:rRNA from 1 species